GACGUAGGGCGCGAGCGUUGUCCGGAUUUAUUGGGCGUAAAGAGCUCGUAGGCGGCUUGUUGCGCGACUGUGAAAACCCGCGGCUUAACUGCGGGCUUGCAGUUGAUACGGGCAGGCUAGAGUUCGGUAGGGGAGACUGGAAUUCCUGGUGUAGCGGUGAAAUGCGCAGAUAUCAGGAGGAACACCGGUGGCGGAAGGCGGGUCUCUGGGCCGAAACUGACGCUGAGGAGCGAAAGCGUGGGGAGCAAACAGG
rnacentral:rRNA from 1 species